rnacentral:rRNA from 1 species
AGAGUUUGAUCCUGGCUCAGGAUGAACGCUAGCGGCAGGCCUAACACAUGCAAGUCGAGGGGUAGAACACUUCGGUGUUUGAGACCGGCGCACGGGUGCGUAACGCGUAUGCAAUCUACCUUGUACAGGGGAAUAGCCCAGAGAAAUUUGGAUUAAUGCCCCAUAGUAUAUAACCUUCGCAUGUUGGUUAUAUUAAAGUUCCAACGGUACAAGAUGAGCAUGCGUCCCAUUAGUUAGUUGGUAAGGUAACGGCUUACCAAGACGAUGAUGGGUAGGGGUCCUGAGAGGGAGAUCCCCCACACUGGUACUGAGACACGGACCAGACUCCUACGGGAGGCAGCAGUGAGGAAUAUUGGUCAAUGGUCGCAAGACUGAACCAGCCAUGCCGCGUGCAGGAAGACGGUCCUAUGGAUUGUAAACUGCUUUUAUACAGGAAGAAACCCUCCCACGUGUGGGAGCUUGACGGUACUGUAGGAAUAAGGAUCGGCUAACUCCGUG